rnacentral:rRNA from 1 species
GAUGAACGCUGGCGGCGUGCCUAAUACAUGCAAGUCGAGCGAACAGACGAGGAGCUUGCUCCUCUGACGUUAGCGGCGGACGGGUGAGUAACACGUGGAUAACCUACCUAUAAGACUGGGAUAACUUCGGGAAACCGGAGCUAAUACCGGAUAAUAUAUUGAACCGCAUGGUUCAAUAGUGAAAGACGGUUUUGCUGUCACUUAUAGAUGGAUCCGCGCCGCAUUAGCUAGUUGGUAAGGUAACGGCUUACCAAGGCGACGAUACGUAGCCGACCUGAGAGGGUGAUCGGCCACACUGGAACUGAGACACGGUCCAGACUCCUACGGGAGGCAGCAGUAGGGAAUCUUCCGCAAUGGGCGAAAGCCUGACGGAGCAACGCCGCGUGAGUGAUGAAGGUCUUCGGAUCGUAAAACUCUGUUAUCAGGGAAGAACAAAUGUGUAAGUAACUAUGCACGUCUUGACGGUACCUAAUCAGAAAGCCACGGCUAACUACGUG